GGAAGGAGGCCCAAGAGGAUCCUCCUGAGACAGGAUGCUGCCAGGAAGAGGGGGCUGGCACCACACCCCCAGCCGGAUGCUCUCUGAGCUGCAGAAACCUGGUGCCAGCUGCAGCACAGGGUGGCGAGGGCACCCUUGGGAAGCUCAGCACACAUCCCCAGAGCUGUUUGGUCCCCUCUGGGGGGCGUUCCAUGGGGAGAGGCUUGGGGAGAAGCCUGCACCAGCAGUGGGAAAAGCAAGGACCGCGUCUGGAAGGGCGGCACGGGUGUUCCACGGAAGGCUCCUAGAAGGACCCACAUGGAGUGGAGUCAUGUGACCAGCCAGCCAGGUACUGACAAAGGGAGCUGUUUCCUACCUGGAAAAGGGCAGGGGGCCUCUUCCCCUGGCAGGGCUGGAGGGGAAUGUGGCUGCCCCUUCCUGAGGAGACCCCAGCAACAGAGGAGGCUCAGCCCCAAAACAACCAAGUACCUCCCCCACCCCCUGCCACCACGGAGAUAACAGAUGGAACCAGACCCAGAGGAGGCCUGUGGAGAAGACACGCAGCUCCUCCCUGGCCCCUCUGUUCCAAGUUACUCCAGAGAGAGGAAGAAAAGAUCUUGCUCCCCUCCCCACCCUUCUGGAAAAGAGAUUUGAACAAACACUUUGGAAGCUUUGAGCUGGCCUGGCCUGCCUUUCAGUGACUAGGAUGGUCUGAAACGUGUCGGGAUCAGCCUGCUAGGAAGACCCAGCAGGAAGGGGACCUCUGCAGAGCUUGAUGGAAAAAAGUAAUUAGGAAAAAGUAAAAUGGUUUUGUUUCAGAGCCCAUGGAUUCGAGAUUCUCCAAUAAACUGGUUCUACAAGUAAAUAAAUGAUCAAGAUAAUUUGAGGCAGUGCAGAUGACAAAACGGAGCUGAGAUGGGUGUUGAUUUGUGGGGUAACUGGUUUGGGGGGAUAGGAAGGACUAUGAGAAGAAGGGACAUUUGCACUGAGAUUCAGCAAGAAGGUCAGCAAGUGCAAAGGCCCUGAGGCACGAACAAGCUUGGAACAUGGAGGAACUUAAGGCCGGUGAAGACAUACCCUGGUGUGUGCCGGGGAAGGAGAGGAAGUGCCCAACGCUGGACCUCCGUAAAGUCCGAUGAGUGUGGGAGGUGUGGAUGGACACCAGAGAUGCAUACCCUGCCCUAGAAUCACCUGCCAUCCAUAGAGGAGAAAAAGGAGCCGACUCUUGAUUUCUAAACUCCAGUGGAACCCAAAAAGCGUUGAUCUUUCAAAUCCUGAGGGAGGUUAGAGGAACCGCCCCUCUGUCUCCUUUAGGAUCUCCGAAGAAGGUUCUGUUUGUUGUCCUCCACGAUUCUUGCCUUCUGUAAGAGCGGUUUGGCCUGGGACCUGGCCUCUUGUCCUCUUCCAUGGCUCUGGGCUGGCCAUUCCGCAGCAUCUUUUAGAGCUGCCUCUUGACAUCACCUGAUUCAGCCAGAGAGGGCGGGGAAGCCGAGGUGACUGGGAGGGUGGACACACUGUGGGGCCGGUCGUGUUUGGGGUGGGUGUUCAGAAACAGUUGCCCAGUUCCAAAGCACUGCCUCUGUGACACCCAGGCCCUUCCCUGCCGCAUCCAUUCAGAUGUGGAUGGGGUAGGAGAAGCCCGCCAGGCAGGUUUCCCUGGACGGUGUUUCUGCUGUGAAAGGAGCCCUGUAGUUUUCCGUAUCUGGGAAACAUGCAUUGGAUAGACCAUCUUCUGGAAGGAGAGAUGGGGG
rnacentral:lncRNA from 10 species